GGCCCGCACAAGCGGUGGAGUAUGUGGUUUAAUUCGACGCAACGCGCAGAACCUUACCCAGUCUUGACAUCCUGUGAACCUGAUAGAGAUAUCGGGGUGCCUCCGCAAGGAGGAAUAUAGUGACAGGUGCUGCAUGGCUGUCGUCAGCUCGUGUCGUGAGAUGUUCGGUUAAGUCCGGUAACGAGCGCAACCCCUAUCCUUAGUUACAAAAUGGACUCUAAGGAGACUGCCGGUGUCAAACCGGAGGAAGGUGGGGACGACGUCAAGUCCUCAUGGCCCUUACGACUGGGGCUACACACGUACUACAAUGGCAACUACAAUGGGCAGCAAGACCGCGAGGUGGAGCUAAUCCCCAAAAGUUGCCUCAGUUCGGAUUGGAGUCUGCAACUCGACUCCAUGAAGUUGGAAUCGCUAGUAAUCGCGUAAC
rnacentral:rRNA from 1 species